rnacentral:lncRNA from 1 species
UUUCUUCACAGGUGCAAAGGGGAGGACCUCUUGCCUGGAGAAUUCAGGAUGGGGUUAAGAAGCAAAGAAAAAUGUGACUAGAGAAAGUCAAGAGGCAGUUGGAUGCAGCUAGGCUGUUGGAAAACGCAGUAUGUGGAGCAGAACCAAACUGAUGUCAUCAUGGCAGGGGCCAUGCUAGAGAAGUCAACAACCGGCCAGUCCCCAGACACGUGAGCAAGCCCAGUCAAAGUCUGUGGUACCAUCUAGCCACCUGGUAGCCUUAUCAGCAAUAAUAGAUGGUGUUGUUUUAAACCGUCGAGUUAUGAGGAGGAAGAGCCAGCAACAAAUUUGUUGCAAACAUUUGCAAAGUGAAAACGACCGUUAUUUUCAUUCUUUUCUCAUCUGACAAGGGAAGAUGCAAGGAAAAUGCAUAGAAGAGAAAGCAUGUGUGAGGAUGGGAAGGAAAGUAAGAAAAGGAAUGUUUUCCACUCACGGGUUGUCUCAUCACUUGGUCCCUCAUUCCCCACUGCAAAGAUGCACUCAUGAUUCAGGCUGGUGCGUGAGAGUACAUCAUUACCCUGGAACCAAUAACCAGUUCAUGGUCAAGCACCUGCCCACACAGGCCCAAUCAAGUCCUUAUUUGGGGAUUUUUAUGGAUACUUGGAGACAGUUUCUCUUCUUUUGCAAUCUGCAGUGUGAAAGAAAAUGUAGUAUGGAAUUAAGGGGAGCCAUGUUUACGGUCAAACAAGAUGGGUCUACUAAGAAUAAAGCCAAAACAAAUGGCA